rnacentral:rRNA from 1 species
UAAACUAGGAUUAGAUACCCUAUUAUUUUAGAAUGUAAAUUGCUUGAGUAGUAUUAGUUAUGUUCUUGAAACUUAAAGAAUUUGGCGGUAUCUCAUUCCGUCUAGAGGAAUCUGUCUCGUUAUCGAUAGUCCACGUUGGACCUUACUUAGGUUUGUAUACCGCCGUUUAUUGAUUAUCUUUUUAGGGGUUUAAAAAUUUUCUGGUUUCUUUAUUUUGAUUUAUUUCAGGUCAAGGUGCAGCUUUUUUCUAAUGUGAAUGAUGGAUUACAUUGUUAUUUGUUUUGGAUUAUUUAUUUUAAUGUGGAUAUGAAAUUGGAUUUGGUUGUAAUUAUUUUUAGAAUGUUAUUAUGAUAACUGGUUCUGGGAUAUGUACACAUCGCCCGUCGCUCUCGUGUGAAUGAGAUAAGUCGUAACAUAGUA